CCUACGGGAGGCAGCAGUGGGGAAUAUUGCACAAUGGGGGAAACCCUGAUGCAGCGACGCCGCGUGAGUGAAGAAGUAAUUCGUUAUGUAAAGCUCUAUCAGCAGGGAAGAAAAUGACGGUACCUGAGUAAGAAGCCCAGGCUAAGUACGUGCCAGCAGCGGCGGGUAUACGUAGGGGGCAAGAGUUAUCCGGAUUUACUGGGUGUAAAGGGAGCGUAGACGGCAGUGCAAGUCUGGAGGGAAAGGCGGGGGCUCAACCCCCGGACUGAUGUUGAAACUGUACGGCUGGAGUGCAGGAGAGGUAAGUGGAAUUCGUAGUGUAGCGGUGAAAUGCGUAGAUAUUAGGCGGAACACCAGUGGCGAAGGCGGCUUACUGGACUGUAACUGACGUUGAGGCUCGAACGCGUGGGGAGCGAACAGGAUUAGAUACCCGUGUAGUC
rnacentral:rRNA from 1 species